rnacentral:rRNA from 1 species
CAGCCGCCGCGGUAAUACGUAGGGUGCAAGCGUUAAUCGGAAUUACUGGGCGUAAAGCGUGCGCAGGCGGUUAUAUAAGACAGAUGUGAAAUCCCCGGGCUCGACCUGGGAACCGCAUUUGUGACUGUAUAGCUAGAGUACGGCAGAGGGGGAUGGAAUUCCGCGUGUAGCAGUGAAAUGCGUAGAUAUGCGGAGGAACACCGAUGGCGAAGGCAAUCCCCUGGGCCUGUACUGACGCUCAUGCACGAAAGCGUGGGGAGCAAACAGGAUUAGAUACCCCUGUAGUCCCUGUCUCUUAUAC